AAAUAAUUUAAUUAUAUUUAUGGUUUUAUAAUUAUUUAAUAUAAAUAAAUUUAAAUGUAAAAGUUUUUGUAUAGUUUAAAGAUAAAAUAAUUUGAUUUAUAAUGAAAUAGUAUUGAGAAAGAAAAUUGAAAAAUUUUUUUGUUUAUUAAAAAGUAGUAUUAAUUUUAUGUACCUUUUGUAUCAGGGUUUAUUAAAUAAUAAUAAAAGAUUUUAUGUUCUCGAAUUUAAAGGAGCUAAAUUAAUAUGAUAGUUUUUGUGUUAUAAAAAUUUUAAAUAAUAAUUUAGUAAUGAAAUGUUAUUCGUCUUUUAAGAUAUCUAGUUUUUUAAGAAAUAAAUUUAAUUUAUAUAUUAAUUAAUUAAUUUUUUAAUUUUUAAAUGAAUUAAUAAUUAAUAUAAAUAUAUCAAGGGAUAAGCUUUGAUUUAUUAAAAUUAUAAUUAUGUUAUAUAUUUAAUUAAUUGUAGAUUUAGAAAUAGUUAUCAAUAAAAAAUUUGUAUUAAUUUAUAAAUUUUUAAAAAAUAUUUAGUAAAAAUUUAAUUUUAGUAUUAAAAUGUAAAUUUUAAUUUUAAAAAUUUAGUAAUAAUGAUAAAAUUAGUAUAGUAAAGUUGUUUAAAUAUAAUUUAUAACGAGAUUAUUUUAAGGAAUUCGGCAAAUAUAAUGUUCACCUGUUUAACAAAAACAUGUCUUUUAGAUUAUAAUUUAAAGUCUAACCUGCCCACUGAAUUUAUUUGAAGGGCCGCGGUAUUUUGACUGUGCAAAGGUAGCAUAAUCAUUAGUCUUUUAAUUGGAGGCUUGUAUGAAUGGUUGGAUGAAACAUUAACUGUCUCAAUUUAAUAAAAUUAGAAUUUAAUUUUUAAGUUAAAAAGCUUAAAUAGAAUUAGAGGACGAGAAGACCCUAUAGAUCUUUAUAAUUAAUUAUUUAUUAUUAAUAUAGAAAAUUAAUUGAUGUUAUUUUAUUAAUUAUUUUAUUGGGGUGAUAAAUAAAUUUAGUAAACUUUAUUUUAUAAAAACAUUUAUUUAUGAAUAUUUGAUCCAUUAUUAAUGAUUAAAAGAUUAAGUUACCUUAGGGAUAACAGCGUAAUUUUUUUAGAGAGUUCUUAUCGAUAAAAAAGUUUGCGACCUCGAUGUUGAAUUAAAGGUUAAUUUUAGGUGCAGAAGUUUAAAGUUUUGGUCUGUUCGACCAUUAAAUCUUUACAUGAUUUGAGUUCAAACCGGCGUGAGCCAGGUUGGUUUCUAUCCUUAAUAAAAUAAAAUAUUUUAGUACGAAAGGACCAAAUAUUUAAAAAAUUUUUUUUAAUUAGAAUAAUAUUAAUAUU
rnacentral:rRNA from 1 species